AAUUAAUAUUUUAGAAUAUUUCUAUCAACAGAUAAAAUUUAAAAGAGUUAGUGGUCUUGAAAAUAAACAAUCUUUUGUAAUGAAGUUAUGCGGUCUAUAAAUGAUAAAUUUUGAUCCAAUCUUCUUCAUUGAUAAUAAACAUGUAUAGCAUAAUAUAAACGAAUCAAUUCAGAGACUUAUGAAUGUCUGACAGCGAUUUCAAGACUCUCAGCUUGAAGUAAAAUUAAUGCAUAUGUAAAUUGAAUAAUCGUAUUUAUUUUUGAUAAGAUAAAAUUUUAUAUAAAUUGUCUCGGUAAUUUAAAUAUAUUCUAAAUAAUUAUUUUAAUUGAUUUGAAACGAAUAUAUUUGAAAAACCCAAUGCUUAAAGGGAUAUUCUGGUCUAGAGGCUCAAAUUUGAAGGAUUUCUAUAAGGGCAAUAAAAAAAAUUAGGAAAACGGUUGACCCUUAAGGCCAUUCUUGCUACUUCCCACUAAUUCCAUACAUAAGCGUUUAAAAUUGCACUUAUGACGUUUUUGAGUUCUUCGAGCUCAAAAAUAUAAUUUAUCUGUUUUAGCCAUAAUUCAUAGCUAAAUUUGUCAUUAAAGACAAAUUUGGGAACUGGUAAAAGAAAGGAUAAUGGGAAAGAGGGGACUUUACUCCGUGGAAAUUUUUCGGUAACCGAAAAAAUAAUUCGGACAGCCCAGACCGGAACUCAAACCCGGACCAUUUGGUUAGGCUCCAAAGUCUCUACUGAUUAAGUUAUUGCACUAAAUAUCAAGUGAAUCGCUUUACUAGAACUUGAGAUAUCAUGUCAACCAUUUUAAAAGAAAAAAUUUUCGAG